rnacentral:rRNA from 1 species
GACGAACGCUGGCGGCGUGCCUAAUACAUGCAAGUAGAACGCUGAAGAGAGGAGCUUACUCUUCUUGGAUGAGUUGCGAACGGGUGAGUAACGCGUAGGUAACCUGCCUUGUAGCGGGGGAUAACUAUUGGAAACGAUAGCUAAUACCGCAUAACAAUGGAUGACACAUGUCAUUUAUUUGAAAGGGGCAAUUGCUCCACUACAAGAUGGACCUGCGUUGUAUUAGCUAGUAGGUGAGGUAAUGGCUCACCUAGGCGACGAUACAUAGCCGACCUGAGAGGGUGAUCGGCCACACUGGGACUGAGACACGGCCCAGACUCCUACGGGAGGCAGCAGGAGGGAAUCUUCGGCAAUGGGGGCAACCCUGACCGAGCAACGCCGCGUGAGUGAAGAAGGGUUUCGGAUCGUAAAGCUCUGUUGUAAGUCAAGAACGGGUGUGAGAGUGGAAAGUUCACACUGUGACGGUAGCUUACCAGAAAGGGACGGCUAACUACGUG